rnacentral:rRNA from 1 species
AGUGAACGCUGGCGGUAGGCCUAACACAUGCAAGUCGAACGGCAGCACAGUAAGAGCUUGCUCUUACGGGUGGCGAGUGGCGGACGGGUUAGGAAUACAUCGGAAUCUACUUUUUCGUGGGGGAUAACGUAGGGAAACUUACUCUAAUACCGCAUACGACCUACGGGUGAAAGCAGGGGAUCUUCGGACCUUGCGCGAUUGAAUGAGCCGAUGUCGGAUUAGCUAGUUGGCGGGGUAAAGGCCCACCAAGGCGACGAUCCGUAGAUGGUCUGAGAGGAUGAUCAGCCACACUGGAACUGAGACACGGUACAGACUCCUACGGGAGGCAGAAGUGGGGAAUAUUGGACAAUGGGCGCAAGCCUGAUCCAGCCAUACCGCGUGGGUGAAGAAGGACUUCGGGUUGUAAAGCCCUUUUGUUGGGAAAGAAAAGCAGCAGGUUAAUACCCCGCUGUUCUGACGGUACCCAAAGAAUAAGCACCGGCUAACUUCGUG